rnacentral:rRNA from 1 species
CCGCGGUGAAUACGUUCCCGGGCCUUGUACACACCGCCCGUCAAGCCAUGGAAGCUGGGUGUACCUAAAGUCGGUAACCGCAAGGAGCCGCCUAGGGUAAAACUAGUAACUGGGGCU